AUUGAACGCUGGCGGCAUGCCUUACACAUGCAAGUCGAACGGUAACGGGCCUACGGGUGCCGACGAGUGGCAAACGGGUGAGUAAUACAUCGGAACGUGCCCGAUCGUGGGGGAUAACGAGGCGAAAGCUUUGCUAAUACCGCAUACGAUCUACGGAUGAAAGCAGGGGACCGCAAGGCCUUGCGCGGACGGAGCGGCCGAUGGCAGAUUAGGUAGUUGGUGGGAUAAAAGCUUACCAAGCCGACGAUCUGUAGCUGGUCUGAGAGGAUGAUCAGCCACACUGGGACUGAGACACGGCCCAGACUCCUACGGGAGGCAGCAGUGGGGAAUUUUGGACAAUGGGCGCAAGCCUGAUCCAGCCAUGCCGCGUGCAGGAUGAAGGCCUUCGGGUUGUAAACUGCUUUUGUACGGAACGAAAAGCCUUCUUUUAAUACAGGAGGGUCAUGACGGUACCGUAAGAAUAAGCACCGGCUAACUACGUG
rnacentral:rRNA from 1 species